GACGGGGGGGGCAAGUGUUCUUCGGAAUGACUGGGCGUAAAGGGCACGUAGGCGGUGAAUCGGGUUGAAAGUGAAAGUCGCCAAAAAGUGGCGGAAUGCUCUCGAAACCAAUUCACUUGAGUGAGACAGAGGAGAGUGGAAUUCCUGGUGUAGCGGUGAAAUGCGCAGAUAUCAGGAGGAACACCAAUUGCGAAGGCAGCUCGCUGGGACGUUACUGACGCUGAGACGCGAAAGCGUGGGGAGCAAACAGG
rnacentral:rRNA from 1 species